rnacentral:rRNA from 1 species
GACGAACGCUGGCGGCGUGCUUAACACAUGCAAGUCGAGCGGUAAGGCCCUUUCGGGGGUACACGAGCGGCGAACGGGUGAGUAACACGUGGGUGACCUGCCCUCAGCUCUGGGAUAAGCCCGGGAAACUGGGUCUAAUACUGGAUAUGACUCCAUGACGCAUGUUGUGGGGUGGAAAGCCUUGUGCGGCUGGGGAUGGGCCCGCGGCCUAUCAGCUUGCUGGUGGGGGAUGGCCUACCAAGGCGACGACGGGUAGCCGGCCUGAGAGGGCGACCGGCCACACUGGGACUGAGACACGGCCCAGACUCCUACGGGAGGCAGCAGUGGGGAAUCUUGCGCAAUGGGCGAAAGCCUGACGCAGCGACGCCGCGUGAGGGAUGACGGCCU